AGAUGUGAGGGUGAUCUAGCUGUGAUAUUUGUUACCUCCCUGAUCACGUGGGUUGAUUUACCUCACCUGGCAGAAUAGAAGGGUGUUCCCUUCCUCCUCCACUGUCCCACAUAUGAUGCAGUGCUCACUUAGAGCAAACAACCUUCCUCUAUACAAUAAAACCAUUCUUUAGCCAAGGUAAUAUGAGUACAUUUGCUCCCUUGCUGGCAAGUUCAAAUAAGCUUUCUAAUGUGCACUGUAUUUCAAAGAACAUUUUAAUGAGUUUCCUAACUGCCAAAUUAUCUGGAGAGUCUUUUAGGGUAUCUUU
rnacentral:snRNA from 1 species